ensembl:lncRNA uncharacterized LOC109095986
GUUGCUUCUUGUGCCUGUCCUCAAUCUGGCAACCCGCGUAAACGUCGAGUCUGCGGAGGAGGAGGAGGGGGCGGGGGCGGGAAACAAUGCUCUCCAAAAUUUUGAAUUUGGAAUGCAGCACUCAUUUCAACCGUUGGUUAUCAAUAUUACCGCGGCACCUUUGAUAUUUAGCAUUUAGCGUUAUAGCCUACUUACACUUCACCAUCUGUGGUUGAAACAUAAAAAUACGUUAUUUUACGUCAGUUGUGUUUCUGCGAUAGUUUGCGGAGUUUCCAUAGUUACCAGUAAUCGCCAUAUCAGCGCGGAUCUGUCACCAGACUGUGCGAAAAUUUUCCAAUAAAUCGUAUAAAACAAACAAGACCUCAUCAGAGCAAGAAUCUGCUAGCGCUGUCUGUCCGGCUUACACACCUGCAGCGCCCCAGGGGAAGAGCGCGGCUCAGACCCCACACCCCUGACGCACUUAACUUCGAGGAAACGAGGAACAAUUAGACGUGAGGAACCUUUCAGAGAUCACAGAGUGUGGAGUUAUUACCCGGCCGUAACAAAACACUGUCGCUGCAGUUCCACCGCUCCAUCUAAACACCAACCAAACCUGUCAUCUCCAGGCAAUUAUCAACAAGUCAAAUUGGCAGGAAUUUAAUUUACAGUGCCACACUUAAAAUAAGGGAAUGAUGUUUAGUCUACAAUCCCAAUGAACGCCUUAGUGUUUUUGCACUCCGUAUCAAAUGAGCUUGAUGGUUAUACGGGAUUAAUUGUUGUUUUUGGAAUAACAGUAUCUGUAGCUACUGGUCUGUUUGUGUGUGUGCGUAUGCGCAUGCUAACUUUUUUUUUUUUUUUUGCGCACGCAUGUGUGAUCUGCAGCACCUGGGACAUCAGGCACACCAGGAACGGUCUCUUUCCCAGAGUGCCGCGCAGCAGUGCCCGCCUAGCUUUGGCACCUCAGCUGUCAGCCCGCUCUGCUGAUGAGGAGAAUGUGUGGGGCGAUGAAGUCGAUAAUGAAGGUGACUGACAACUAGCAUGUUACCAUCUGCAUUGCGUGUUUCUAAAAACACUCCAGUGACGCAAAAGGCAUCCUGCUGCAGUCAAAUCAACUGGCAUAACAGCUUUGUCAGACUUAGAGAUGUCAGCAACAGUGGUACAGAUAGUACAUCUAAAUAUUAGUGGUGCAAACUCCUUUUAAAGAAAAAAAUCAACCAAAGUGCUUUCUGAAGUGUCAUUUUUUCAGUGCUUUAUUUCGGUAUACCAGUGGUUAACGAUCUUCGGUGGAUGACUUUUAAUUGAACUUUCUUUCAAAGAAAUAUUUCAACUUAAUUUCGGUAAUGCACUCUGUGACUAAUACAAUGAUUGCAGACCAUGCUGGAACCAGACUUACUUUAAUGUCAAACCACCUCCUGUCAAGCACUUUCAAUGCAUUUUCACAUAGUAACUUGUUAUUAUAUUCAGGAGAGAAAGGAACUUGUUGCUAGGUGUUAGUCUAUUUUUUUGAAAAUGAAAAGGUGAAAAGAAAAUACAAAUUACUAACAAAGUGGCACAGUGACAACGUGUCUGUCUUUCUUUUUUCUUUCUCUUUACACUACUAGGUAUUCAUCUAUUACACAUAAAGAGGUUUCAUUCUGUUUCCUUAAAAUAACAAAAAGUUAUAAUAAAUAAAU